rnacentral:rRNA from 1 species
CCAGCACCUGCGGUAAUUCCAGCUCCAAUAGCGUAUAUUAAAGUUGUUGCAGUUAAAAAGCUCGUAGUUGGAUUUCGGGGCAGCCUGGCUGGUCCGCCGCAAGGCGAGUACUGGUCAGCCGCCCUUCCUCUCGAAAGCCCCGACUGCUCUUUACUGCAGUGGUCGGGUAGUUCGGGACGUUUACUUUGAAAAAAUUAGAGUGUUCAAGGCAGGCCGUCGCCUGAAUACAUUAGCAUGGAAUAAUGGAAGAGGACCUCGGUCCUAUUUUGUUGGUUUCCAGGGCCGAAGUAAUGAUUAAGAGGGACAGUUGGGGGCAUUCGUAUUUAAUUGUCAGAGGUGAAAUUCUCGGAUUUAUGAAAGACGGACAACUGCGAAAGCAUUUGCCAAGGAUGUUUUCAUUAAUCAAGAACGAAAGUC